AAGACCUCGCGCUAUUGGAGCGGCCGAUGUCCGAUUAGCUAGUUGGUGGGGUAAUGGCCCACCAAGGCGACGAUCGGUAGCUGGUCUGAGAGGAUGAUCAGCCACACUGGGACUGAGACACGGCCCAGACUCCUACGGGAGGCAGCAGUGGGGAAUUUUGGACAAUGGGCGAAAGCCUGAUCCAGCCAUGCCGCGUGAGUGAAGAAGGCCUUCGGGUUGUAAAGCUCUUUCGGCCGGAACGAAAUCGCGCGAGCUAACACCUCGCGUGGAUGACGGUACCGGAAGAAGAAGCACCGGCUAACUACGUGCCAGCAGCCGCGGUAAUACGUAGGGUGCAGGCGUUAAUCGGAAUUACUGGGCGUAAAGCGUGCGCAGGCGGCUUCCUAAGUCAGAUGUGAAAUCCCCGGGCUCAACCUGGGAACU
rnacentral:rRNA from 1 species